rnacentral:rRNA from 1 species
AGAGUUUGAUCCUGGCUCAGAACGAACGCUGGCGGCAGGCCUAACACAUGCAAGUCGAGCGAGACCUUCGGGUCUAGCGGCGGACGGGUUAGUAACGCGUGGGAACGUGCCCUUCUCUGCGGAAUAGCCACUGGAAACGGUGAGUAAUACCGCAUACGCCCUUCGGGGGAAAGAUUUAUCGGAGAAGGAUCGGCCCGCGUUAGAUUAGAUAGUUGGUGGGGUAACGGCCUACCAAGUCUACGAUCUAUAGCUGGUUUUAGAGGAUGAUCAGCAACACUGGGACUGAGACACGGCCCAGACUCCUACGGGAGGCAGCAGUGGGGAAUCUUAGACAAUGGGCGCAAGCCUGAUCUAGCCAUGCCGCGUGUGUGAUGAAGGUCUUAGGAUCGUAAAGCACUUUCGCCAGGGAUGAUAAUGACAGUACCUGGUAAAGAAACCCCGGCUAACUCCGUGCCAGCAGCCGCGGUAAUACGGAGGGGGUUAGCGUUGUUCGGAAUUACUGGGCGUAAAGCGUACGUAGGCGGAUCAGAAAGUUGGGGGUGAAAUCCCGGGGCUCAACCCCGGAACUGCCUCCAAAACUCCUGGUCUUGAGUUCGAGAGAGGUGAGUGGAAUUCCAAGUGUAGAGGUGAAAUUCGUAGAUAUUUGGAAGAACACCAGUGGCGAAGGCGGCUCACUGGCUCGAUACUGACGCUGAGGUGCGAAAGUGUGGGGAGCAAACAGGAUUAGAUACCCUGGUAGUCCACACCGUAAACGAUGAAUGCCAGUCGUCGGGCAGUAUACUGUUCGGUGACACACCUAACGGAUUAAGCAUUCCGCCUGGGGAGUACGGUCGCAAGAUUAAAAC